CUUUUCCCUCGUAGAUCGUCCAUUUCGUAAACAUCCCCUGCCAACUUAUUCUGCCCACCGACACCAUCCAGAGUCUCGCACUUUCUCGCAUCUUUUCACGGCGAAUUUUCUUGCGAUCCCGUAGCCGAUAGAAAUUGCCCGAAAUAUAUCGGAAUGUUCUACCCCUCAGGGCCAGUGUAAGAGGGUGUUUCAUUGGUUAAACGCGAUUCAGGGAUGAGACGCGCACGCGCCGCCACUGCGCGCUCUGGAUAGUAUUCGUUCGAUCCGUUACCAGCCUGUAUUCGUCAGCCAGAUAGACUGUUCCGUCUUCAAAGCGAUAAGGUUACCACAUUCGUAUCUUCUAUCAUUUUUACCCUUUCAACGUUGCUCUAAUCAAUUUCACGAAAUUCGAUCAGAUACCAUUCGUUCUUCGACUCGUUUCAUCAAUUUUUCAUUAUCAUCAGAGCGUAGGAUCGAAAUCAAGGGAGGAAGGAAAUGAAGGGGUUGGAAAGCUGCGAGAAGGAUCGUGUCCCUUUAAGCCAAGAGUCUUUAAUUCGGUACCGAUUUAUUCGUGGGCAAGCAGCAAUCAAGGAGGAAGCGGUUACUCAUCGUUCAACGAUCUUCGCUGAAUGAGACCAGCCAAGUCAGCAUCGAGGAAGAAUACCGCUUCAAUGAGCUGCUCGGAGCGAAACACGGAUCAAAGAGUAUUGGAAGAGAAGAAUGGUAGACAAAAGAAGAAGGAGAAGAAGAAGGAGAGAAACGAGUGAAACAACGUGUAGCGGAUCUUCUACGCAGGUAUAUACGUAAUGUACACGUACGUGCGGGUCGCGUGUAGGGAUACUCACGUAAUGUAGGCCUGUUCCCGGAGGUACCGUAAGACCUUGCUGUUACGUCACUAGAAGCCGCAUGAUUAGGAGAAAAAGGAUACCGAUGAGAAGGGAGAGAAGAAAACAGGAACCGUACCCUAGGGCUGCACGCAUCUUCCUACUCCGUUCACCGAUAUUUCUUCAUACUAAUUAAUUCCCUUUGUCUUUCAUUUUUCUUCAAUUUUCUAAUAUUUUAUUAAUGGUAUUGUACGUUUCAAUCAUUUUUCAGUGAUCGCAAGUGGAGAAGACUUUAGCAGUUUCUUGGAGUAAUUGAGAAAUGCAAGAGUUUUGAAUAUAAAAUUUUUUUAAAUUUUUUAAUAGCUCUUCUAAGUUCAGAAAAAUGAAAUUAGAUGAUUUUGAACACAAUAAUUGCAAUUAAUAAAAUAAAGGGUUAUAUGAUUUUUAGAGCAACAGAGCAAAAUCUGAAAGUGACCAUCCGUGUCUAAAAUAAGACACACAAGUGGGAAGUUGUAAUCGCAUUUCUGCAGAGGUUGCAGUAAAUUUAGAGGUGCGAAUUGGGCUAAGAGAUCGUGUGCUGAACUGUGUGUGCAAACAAACCUAACCCACUUCAAUUUCCAUCCAUUUCUCGCUUUUGCCAUCAUUUAAUGUAUUUACAAAAACCUUGAUCUUUUUAAUCCUGUUAUCCUCUACAAACAUAAAUUGGUGUCUAAAUAAAAUAUUCAUCAAGAGACCUGUAACCCUAGAUUAUCCUUUUUGUGACAACACUCUAAUAUGCAAAUUUAACGAUGUAAACAAUAAAAUAUUCAUUAUUUCAAGCGUUACAAGUUUGUACGAAAUAUUUCGUUAGA